UACGUAGGGCGCAAGCGUUAUCCGGAAUUAUUGGGCGUAAAGAGCUCGUAGGCGGUUUGUCGCGUCUGCCGUGAAAGUCCGGGGCUCAACUCCGGAUCUGCGGUGGGUACGGGCAGACUAGAGUGAUGUAGGGGAGACUGGAAUUCCUGGUGUAGCGGUGAAAUGCGCAGAUAUCAGGAGGAACACCGAUGGCGAAGGCAGGUCUCUGGGCAUUAACUGACGCUGAGGCACGAAAGCGUGGGGAUCAAACAGG
rnacentral:rRNA from 1 species